rnacentral:rRNA from 1 species
UACAGAGGUGGCAAGCGUUGUUCGGAAUCACUGGGCGUAAAGGGCGCGUAGGCGGCUUGAUAAGUCGGAUGUGAAAGCCCUGGGCUUAACCCAGGAAGUGCAUUCGAAACUCCCGAACUCGAGUCCUGGAGAGGAAGGCGGAAUUCUCGGUGUAGAGGUGAAAUUCGUAGAUAUCGAGAGGAACAUCGGUGGCGAAGGCGGCCUUCUGGACAGUGACUGACGCUGAGACGCGAAAGCGUGGGGAGCAAACAGG